AGCAUAUCAAUAAGCGGAGGAAAAGAAACCAACAGGGAUUGCCCCAGUAACGGCGAGUGAAGCGGCAAUAGCUCAAAUUUGAAAUCUGGCUCUUUCAGGGUCCGAGUUGUAAUUUGCAGAGGGUGCUUUGGCGUCGGCCGUGGUCUAAGUUCCUUGGAACAGGACGUCACAGAGGGUGAGAAUCCCGUACGUGGCCGCCGGUCUUCGCCGUGUAAAGCCCCUUCGACGAGUCGAGUUGUUUGGGAAUGCAGCUCUAAAUGGGAGAUAAAUUUCUUCUAAAGCUAAAUAUUGGCCAGAGACCGAUAGCGCACAAGUAGAGUGAUCGAAAGAUGAAAAGCACUUUGGAAAGAGAGUCAAAAAGCACGUGAAAUUGUUGAAAGGGAAGCGCUUGCAGCCAGACGUGCCCGCAGUUGCUCACCCGGGCUCUCGCCCGGGGCACUCUUCUGCGGGCAGGCCAGCAUCAGUUCGGGCGGUUGGAUAAAGGCCUCUGUCACGUACCACCCCCUCGGGGGCGGCCUUAUAGGGGAGGCGCAACACGACCAGCCCGAACUGAGGACCGCGCAUUAUGCUAGGAUGCUGGCGUAAUGGCUGUAAGCGGCCCGUCUUGAAACACGGACCAAGGAGUCUAACAUCUAUGCGAGUGUUUGGGUGUCAAGCCCGGACGCGCAAUGAAAGUGAACGGAGGUGGGAACCCUUACGGGCGCACCAUCGACCGAUCCUGAAGUCUUCGGAUGGAUUUGAGUAAGAGCAUAGCUGUUGGGACCCGAAAGAUGGUGAACUAUGCCUGAAUAGGGUGAAGCCAGGGGAAACCCUGGUGGAGGCUCGCAGCGGUUCUGACGUGCAAAUCGAUCGUCAAAUUUGGGC
rnacentral:rRNA from 1 species